rnacentral:sRNA from 1 species
AAAUAGUACUUCCAUUGUGAAAAACACUCAUAUUUUUUCUGGCGACAUCGGGACAUGAGCCCUUGUCGGUUAUAUGGUUAUUGCGGUGUUAAUAAAUUUUCUAAGACGUGGUCUUAGUUGCAAGGUUUGUAAAGCCUUUGAAAACGAAUUAAAUCUACCAAUGACGAAGUCUUGGUUUGAAAGGAUUGAUAAUCCGUGCAUUUCGUUUUACACAUGGUUCAUGUGGUUUUACAACUCAAGUUGUACAAUACACGUUGUGUAUUUGUUGAAUGCACGAUAAGAACACGCUGUGUUCAGAAUUUUGUCGUGAAUAUAUUUUACCGCAAGUUUUACAGUACACGUUGUGUAUUGGUUGAUAGUAAGUUUAUAAAACACGUUGUGUUCAGAACUUGGACUAUAUAAAAGAUUUUACACCGCAAGUUGAAUAAUAUACACGCUGUGUAUAAAUUAAAUAGUACAGUACAAUUAGAACACGAUGUGUUCAGAUUUUUCUUAUGGUUUUAUUGAUCUCAAUAUCAGGGAUAUAAAUGAGACAAGAGAUGGAAUUUCUCUUAACUGCUGACUGAUACUGGAGAUAAUUGGUUUACGACCCACAAUUUACAAAAUGUAAUGCUCCUAGUAAAAUGACCAAAGGUCUGAAGUUUGAACAAAAUAACAGUCAGGUUAAUAAUACAACUGUACUAAAUCAUGUAGGUGAAAGAAGAUGUCAAUUUAGAACAUCGGAACAGACUGAUGCAAUACAUAACAUGAAAUUAAUGUUGGUUUAUUGAUCAUGAUAAAAAAGAAGUAUUUAAGGCAUCAGUUUGCACAUGGUUGAAAUAAGUACAGCUGAUGAUAUCAGUAAUAUUAUUUGGUGUCAUUGAAGACCAAACAAGAAAUUUCACUAAUGAACAGGAAUUUAUUUUGCUUCUCAGAGCAAUACAUUGGCUGUGAAAUGUUUUAAUUCUGGGAUGAGAAGCUUAUGUAUACGUAUGUUUUCUAUAACACAUAAUAUAUGGUGUUUUCAAGUUAUUGUCACAGAAAAGAUGAUUGUCUACAUUACAUUUAUUUAUAUUACAUUGUACAAUCGAAGUUGUGCAUGUUGUGAAGUUUGGAAGAAAGAAGCUUAAAAUCUUGGAGAAUCAUGAAUUUUUUGAAAGACGAACUGAUUCAUAAAAUAUUAGAGAAUUAAAUUGAUCACUGUUUGUAAUGGGUGCAAAAGACAAUCCAUGCAGUGUUUUGAAUUGUAUCAAUUGUUUGUGCAGUUUUAUUCAGAUAUAAAGUUGAGUUAAGAGUUAUAAAGUUUGACUGAAGUGACAGUGAAUGUUGAAAACAGGAGUACCAGUAUUGAUU